CUAGCAAUGAGGCUUCUUGGUGGCGGCCCCGGUAGGGGUCGUCAUUUGCCACAUAUCUUAGUGGCAUUGGCGGCCAUUUUGGCUGUUGCUAAUGUUGUUUCUGCUGAUCCUUAUGUAUAUGCUUCUCCACCUCCACCACCUUACGAGUACAAGUCGCCACCCCCUCCUUCUCCCUCUCCACCACCGCCUUAUGAGUACAAGUCGCCACCACCUCCUUCUCCAUCUCCUCCACCGCCAUAUGAAUACAAGUCGCCACCACCUCCUUCACCAUCACCUCCACCACCAUACUACUACUCUUCCCCACCACCUCCGAAGAAGUCACCUCCACCACCAUACUACUACUCCUCUCCACCACCACCCGAGAAGUCACCUCCUCCACCAUACUACUACUCCUCUCCUCCACCCCCGGAGAAGUCACCUCCACCACCUUACUACUACUCUUCUCCACCACCCCCCAAGAAGUCACCUCCACCUCCAUACUACUAUAGUUCUCCACCACCACCCGAGAAGUCACCUCCACCACCUUACUACUAUUCUUCUCCUCCACCACCCGAGAAGUCACCUCCACCACCAUACUACUACUACUCUCCUCCACCACCCAAGAAGUCACCUCCACCUCCAUACUACUACAGUUCUCCACCACCACCAGUUAAGUAUCCUCCUCCACCAUACUACUACCCUUCUCCACCACCACCCAAGGAAUCACCUCCUCCACCAUACUACUACUCCUCACCACCACCACCCAAGAAGUCACCCCCACCCCCAUACUACUACUCCUCUCCUCCACCACCAGUUAAAUAUCCUCCUCCACCAUACUACUACUCUUCCCCACCACCACCAGUUAAGUACCCUCCUCCACCAUAUUACUACACUUCUCCUCCACCACCUACUCCUUACUAUCCUCCUCAUCACCCCUUGAUUGUUAAGGUUGUAGGAAAAGUCUACUGCUACAGAUGUUAUGACUGGAAAUACCCAAAGAAAUCCCAUGACAAGAAGCACCUCAAAGGUAUACCACUCUUCUACACUUCAUUCCUCUCUUACAUUAUUUUUUUUUCCUUGUUUAGUACAUUUCUUCAUAACUAUAUUCUGUUAGAUAUUUGUUUGUGAAUCUUUUACUCUCUUUAUUCUUAAAAUUAUAUAUAACAUGAGACAUGCGUGAAUUUGAAGGCACCACCCUAUUCAUUUAAAUGACUUUAGGGACUUAAAUCCAACCAACAUUCUUUCUAUAUUUAUGAAGUAUAGAAAAUGAAAGUGAUAUUUCAUUUCUGUGAAAGCAAAAUCUUGUAUACAGAGUUAAUUAUAAUGGCGAGUUCUCAAAAAUAUUACUUACUAAAUAGUUUAUUAUCUUCAAGUAUGUAGUUCUACUUGCUUUAAAGAAAUAGUUCAAAAUUUGGUAACUCUUUGCUAUAUUACCCUACAAAAAGAUGAGAUAUAUUUGUCAAAAAAAGGGUUUUAAAACCAUUGAAGAAGUUUUUUACAACGAAAUCAUGAAAACGCAUCAGAAGUAAAAGUAAGAAAACAUCAUCACUUAAUUAUGCUUGCCAUACAAAAGGUAUAUUCAUUGAUUAUGCAAUUAUUUGUGGUAUUAUAUAUAUAUAUAUGAUUUUCUUUUUCAUGAUUAAACAAUUAUUAACUUGAUCUAUUAAAAAUAUAUUAUAACAAUAAUAAAAAAGUUUCAUUGAAUAUCACCAAAAUGUUGAAAAAAACAAAGAGGUAAUUGGAGACAGAUGGAUAGAUUCUUGACUUUGAAUUGCUUAUUAGCUAAUAAAGAGGAAAAGCAACAUGAAUAAGUGGAUAAUGAGCUUUUGAUCAUGUGAUGGAAUACUUAAUUUUAUAGUAAGGAAAGGACAACGUUGGUUAUUGUAGCUAGUGGGCAAAAUAAGCUAAAAAAUAUGUCUAUAUGAUCUAGUUAAUGACUCAAUUAUUAAGUACUAAUUGCAUUAUUAUCAAUUUUCACACUUGGUAUAUACUAUAUAUAUAGGUGCUGUUGUUGAGGUGACAUGCAAGGCUGGUUACAAAGAAAUCAAGAGCUAUG
rnacentral:lncRNA from 1 species